AUUCAGCUGACGAGUCCCGAAUAGGAGGAAACACGCGUCUUGGAU
rfam:Schistosoma margrebowiei strain Zambia genome assembly, scaffold: SMRZ_contig0003599